GGGGAAGGGGGCGGGGCAUCGAGGGAAGCCCGCCCCCGCCCCGCGCGCCCUGGUUUUCCAGCGCCCACUUCCGGCCGCGGCCCGGAAGUGCUCGGGGGCGGCGGCGGCGGCGGGCGGCCGAUGGCGGGGGGAGGUGGAGGCUGAGGGGAGCUGAGGUUUCCGAAAUAGAGUUACGGUUACCCAGGGCACGGAUGGCUGAAGGCGUCAACCCCCGUCGCUAGCUGCAGGGCAGCACGGUUUUUUUCCAUCAUGUGACCAGAGAACACCUGCACAGCAAGUCCCAUCAUUUUCCAAAGAAUGAGCACAUGUCGAUGGUGUACGCCGAGUGGUCCCGAUGCCACUGAGUACCUGAAGUGCUAUGCUUCUGGACGGCUGUCCCCGGAAGAUCUUGAAGGAUCCAACGAUGACCUCUGUUACUGCUUGGAGUGUGUGGUUGAAUACCACAAAGCAAGGGAGAAAUUGCCAAGCUUGCACGAGGCUUUGUGGGAAUUGGAAACCUCCCGUCUCAUAGCCCACAUAGGAAAAUCCAUGAAAGAAGAAGCUGGAGAAGAUGAUGAGUUAUUUAUAGUGGAUGAGAAUGGAGAGACACAGCUGUCUGGUUACGUAGGCCCAGAUUUUGAGAAUAACCUGCGAGUGCCCCUUCUAGAAAUACUGAAAUACCCGUAUCUGCUGCUGCAUGAGAAAGUCAGUGAGCUUUGUGUAGAAGUGCUCUGUAGAAUGGAACGUAGUCACGACUCCUUUCAGGUCUUUGAAAAAUAUCCAGGAAUUUAUCUCUUUUUGGUACACCCGAAUGAAGUGAUUCGUCGAUGGGCCAUUCUAACUGCAAGGAGUUUAGGGAAGGUUGACAGGGAUGACUACUAUGACUUACAGGAAGUGUUGGCUUGCUUGUUUAAAGUCAUUGAGUUGGGGCUUUUUGAAAGUCCAGAUAUUUACAGCUCUUCAAUGAUUGAAAAGGGUAAACUCAUCCUUCUGCCAGCUCAUUUAUAUGAUACUACCAACUACAAGAACUAUUGGCUAGGGAUUUGUAUGUUGCUCACGGUGCUGGAAGAACAAGCUAUGGACUCCUUGUUGCUGGGCCCAGACAAACAGAAUGAUUUCAUGCAGUCAAUACUUCACACCAUGGAGAAAGAAGCAGAUGAUGAUUCUACUGACCCCUUCUGGCCAGCGCUGCAUUGUUUCAUGGUUAUUUUGGAUCAGCUCGGAUCUAAAGUAUGGGGUCAGCUUAUUGAUCCUGUCCAAGCCUUUCAAACCAUUAUCAACAGUGUGAGCUACAACAACGAAAUAAAAAAUAUACGCAAUAGCUUUAAGAGGACAAAACCUGAACCGGAGCCAGACUACGAUGAUGAAAUGGUUACUUGCAGUCAGAUUGUAUAUAAUUAUAACACAGAAAAGCCUCAAAAGGACACUGGGUGGAAAACUGCUAUUUGUCCAGACUACUGCCCUAAUAUGUAUGAAGAUAUGCAAACACUGGCUAGCGUGCUUCAGUCUGAUAUUGGCAGAGAUAUGCGUGUUCAUCACAGCACAUUUCUGUGGUUCAUCCCAUUUGUUCAGUCACUUAUGGAUCUCAAGGACUUGGGUGUAGCAUACAUAGUAGAGGUCAUUCACUACCUCUGCUCAGAAAUCAAAGAUAUUCUCAAUGAAAGAAUCCGGCAGUGUGACAAAGUCUCUGAAUUUUUUCUCUUGAUCCUGGUGUCAAUUAUUGAACUGCACAGAAAUAAAAAGUGCCUGCAUUUGCUGUGGAUUAGCUCACAAGAAUGGGUGGAAGCAGUGGUGAGAUGUGCUAAGCUUCCAGCGAUAGCAUUUACACGGUGCACUGAAAAAGCAUCUGGAAACCACGCGAGAAGUCCAUCUUUACAGGCUUCUAACUCUGUGCAGCACGCUUGCAUACAGUUGAUACGCAGCCUUCUUAGAGAAGGCUAUCAAAUCGGUCAGCAUGCUCUUUGCAAGAAAUACCUAGACAAACUCAAUCUCCUUCUGCGAGGAAAUCUAUCUUUAGGUUGGCAGCUGAACAUCCAAGAAACUCAGGAAUUACAAAUGUGUUUAAAGCAGGUUAUAAGAAGUAUGAAGGGCAGGGCGUUAAAUGCCUCUGUACCUGUGGAAAACAAUGCAAACUCUACAACUUUGCCUCCUGUUUCUGUGAAGCAAGAGAAGUCUGUACCUGGUGAUGGAUAUAAGAUGGGUGUACAUGGCAGAGAUGGCCUUUGUUCACCAUUUGCCUUCAUGGCAAAGGAAGGUGGGGAUGAAGAUUGUCGAGAGAACUCUUUCACUAGAAGAAAUAGUGCAUGGGAAGAGGAAUGUAAAGAUGCACCUAAAAAUUCAAGAUCUCGGACAUCCAUGAACUGCCUGUUGGUGAAUAUUAAAAAGGAACCUAAUGACAUGACACCUCAGGAAUGCAAACAGAACUCUUUCACAACAGAAAUGUAUGGGAAAGUUAAGGAAAAUAGGAACAAUGAUCUUGUGUCAGGGAACUGUGGUAUGGAUAAUCAGUGUUUUAAUCCAAAUGCCCAGUGUUCAGAUUUCAGAAGACGUGGAGAGUUGGAAAACAAAUGUGAAGCAGAACCUGUUGUAACACCAAUGCGUCUGUCUGCUCAAACUAGUGUUGGUUCUCCGGAAUGCCUUUACAGUUCAGAUGUAAAGGAGAAAAAUGUAUCUCUUGGUUCCUCAUCAAAGUUUAAAGUAGAUGCACAUAGGCUUAGGAGUUUGAAAAUGAAGGUACAGAAAACUGAAUGGCCUCCGGGACUACUGCCUCUAAUGGCGCCACAUGAUUUGAAAAGCUGCAGUUCAGCAACAAGCGCAGCGGAAGCAGACCAACGUGUAUGUUGCACUGGUGGUCUGUGCGCCAGAAAAGAUUGUUUUAAACAUCAGGGAGUGAAUACCAUGUAUGAAGAUGGAAAAUCAGCAGAUAAUUCAAGGAGUUUUGAAAGUAUGCAGGAGAAAAGUGCUUUUCAAUACAGAAAGGUUCCUGUUAAACGGGAAACAAAAGAGACGCCAUUAGACUGCCUCAGCUCCUCUAAAAAUGAGCCUGGCUUGCAAGAAAACAAAAGUGUUGAUGUUUUGCUUUCAGGGACUAGUGACACCUUACUGCAAAAAGUAUCCACUCAAGAACAAUCAAGUUCAUUUUUGACAUCUGUGUUUAAGAAAGACCCUACCAUGCAAACUUCAGACCAGGGACAGGCUAACUUAGGUGACUUAGUUAACUAUGACUGCAAUGGUCAAAUUUCAAAGACAUGCUGUAAAGGUAAAAAUUUGGCAAGUGGUCAUGUGCCAUCUAGCUCUGAAAAUAAGGGGGUUGUAUCCAACACUUCUCUGAUCAGUCCACUAACAAAGAGUGAAUCAAGUGACAAGUUGUUAGUAUUUUCAAAAUAUUUCAAGAGAGACAGUGAUUCAGUGGGGAAGAAGGAGAAGGAUUUUGCGAGGAUGGUUUCUGAAGAUACUUUAACAGACUCACAGCUUGAUACAGAUCUUAGUAAAUUGUCUUUAGCUGCAUAUGCAAAAGGUGUCAAUUUUCCCUUCGAUUCAAGUCAAGAAAGCUCAGUACAUCAUAAUGUAUGUGAUAUUAAAAGGAAAGUGAAAGGUGCUGUAAGGUCUUCCAACGAUGCCCAGAGUAACAAGUCUCCCUGUGAUGCAGAUUGCCUUGACAAUGAAGUCAUUAUAAUUUCAGACUCUUCUGAUGAAGAAAAAGGUGUCACUGUCCAAGAGGAAACAAAAACAAAGAAUGAAAAUGUGUGUCCUGAAAAACAGCCUUUAACAGAAGUGCAGCGUGAUAUUAAAGAUAACACAUUAGAAUCGAAGAUGCCAAGCUCUCCCUUGCCACUUGAAGACUGUGACUCUCAGUACUUUGAGUUUGAAACAGAAGCUGAUGUCUUUUCAGUUUGGCAGGAUACUCAAGCAUAUAGCAUGGAAGAAACUCAAGAGUAUAAACACGACUGUGCUUCAACAUCAGUUGAUAAUAGUCAUUCAGAUAGCUCACUGAAGGAUCACACAAAUGAAUGGGGUUAUGAUACAGAUUACAUAAGUGAUGAUGAUAUGGAACAAGCAGACUCGACAGAAAAGCAGAUAAAUAAUAUUUCUUGUCAGAAAGAAGCUGAUAAUACAGAAGAAGUAGCUAAUUCACCAUUGCAAGAAUCUUCUAGUAAAGGAGAUGCAAAAGAUCAACUGGAGAAUUUUACAGACAAAAGCACUGUUGAUAAAGACUUUGGUCUGAAUGCAGAAUCGACUGAACCCAGAGCAUCUACUUCUAACAUCACUUUAGCUUCGAAGUUGGCACUUAAGAAAAAUACUGUGAGCCCACGUAAGAAUACAGCAAAAUCUAAGGUGGCAAGAACCAUCCAAAGAAGUCCUAAAACAAUGGUUCUUAAAGCAGCACAAACUAAAAAACUGCUUCAAAUUACAUCAAAAAAUGCUCAACCUGGCAGGACGUUACCAGCUGUGGUUCCUCCGAAGAAAGUUCGUCAGUGUCCUGCACCAACGUCAACUGUAGAAAAACUUGGGCUGAAAAAGGCACCCCGCAAAGCAUUUGAAUUAUCCCAGCGCUCUUUAGAGAGUCUAGCUCAAUUGCGUAGCUAUGGUAAAGCUGCAGGGAAAGUUGGAAUUGCAAUGAAACAGAAGGUUAAACUAAUUGCACCUCAGAGUUUGUCUAUAAAAAAUAACAAAAAAAUGCUAGCGUGCCAAGAUCUUCAGUUCUUAAGGCAGACAAGGCCCAACAAAAAUGUUAGAGUGAAAAAUUUUGCCAGAAGUUCUGAGAGUAGAAGCAAAAAAGUUAGCACAAUGGAUACAAAGUCUGUGAAACAAAAGGCUAAUUUUUUUGAUGGGGCAUUUGUCGAAGGAGCUGUUGGAAAGCAAAGAGAGAAAAAAAUGGAGCAGACCUAUUGUCCCUCUGCCAGUGAAAAAGAACAAAUCAAAAGUGUCUCUGGGAAGAAGGAGGCUGUGCAAACCACGCAUCUCUCUAAAAUGCCUAGUUCUUCAGACUCAAACAGAAAAACAAAGGAGAGCAAUGUGGUGGUUCCUCCGGUACCUAUGGUUUCAAGUCUGUGUUCUGCUGCAGCUGUUGGAGAUAAAGAUAGCUCUUCAGAAAGAGGUUGCAUUGUCCAGCCUGAGUUUGAGAUGGUAACAUCAAAUGAAAACGGGUGUAAACCAAGUGAAAACAGUGAGGAGGAGGAUGAUGAUUUAUUUUUAACUCAAUUAGAUCCUGUGGAUAUGGAGUUGUGUUCCCAGGAGGAAAAUUUUGAAGAUACUUCUAUUGCUAGUAAAAAAACAGAGGAAAUGGAAGUAGAAACUGCUGAAAAGCUUCAGCAGAAUGAACCCUUGACUAUUGUGAAAUGUAAAUACAAAGACUGUAUGGAGAAAGUGGAAAAAACAGGAGAGUACUGUAGUAAGCAUUCAUCCACCAAUUCAGAAUCAGAUCACUUGUUUGCCAAGCCGCCUGCCCUGCCACCUUCUAAAACAAGAAAGCCUUCCACUACCAAAAUUUUCAGUUCAGUAAGUUCUUCGCGGAAUGCAGCCUUCAGCAAGGAUCUCGAAGAUGUUAAAAAACAACCACCAACACCAAAAAACAAAGUGAACACAGCAAAACCUGUGGUAAGACCACCAAAUGUAAAGGCUCUACCAACAGGAAAUCAAACAUACAAGACUCCAAGUUCCAGUAAUGUUCCUCAACCCUGUGUUUCUAGAAAUGUUCUCCAGUCACGAAAUGUACAUAUCAACAAUGCUUCAAAUAUGUCUAGAAGGCCUGUCCGAGAAGAAUAUUCUUCCUUUCUUGGUGCUCAGCAACGUGAUCACAGUAUUUUUGUUAAGGAAGUCUUAAAGUGGACUUACGAAAUGUUUGUGAACUCCAGCCAGUUUGGACCUCCAAGUAAUCUCCUGCAAUCCGUAGUGGCCUCUGUUCCUAUCAGAUUUCAGGGAUACAAUGACUACUUUAAUACAUUUUUCCCCUUGAUGAUGCUAAAUGCCUUUGAAACACUGGCACACGAGUGGGUAGAAAACCAGAAGACAAGAGAGAAGAGUUACUACUUCCACUUACAGAACUUCUGUGCGGACUUGAAUACGGCAGAUUUUAUAGCUCAUUUUCGAGAAAGUGAUUUGGCAAAGCAGCUUCAUCCAAAGGAGGAUGACUUAAUCUUUUUGGUGGUCCAAAAGAGCAAAGACGCCUUUGGGGAAGACGGCGAGAUGGAGGACCAUCUAGUGAAUCACGUUGGUCUUGUGACACGAUUUUCCCGUGCUGGCUGUUUAACUAGACAAAAGGAACAGCAUACUGUCUGUCAUCUUUCUGUGCAAACUCGAGGCAAUUUGUCGUUCUUCAUAAAUAAACAAGUGAAGUGCGUAGUGGUCGGCUCCCUAGUGACUGCACAACGAACAUUCAAAGGUCUACUACUACUGAGCAGGAGUCCCCUGGCUAAACCCAUCAUAAAUCCAAGUUACAAUGAUUUCUGUCCAAGAGACUUGCCUGUAGCUUCGGAAAGUGCUGCAUUUUAUAUGAAUGAAUACAAUGAAGAUCAAAAGAGAGCCAUUGAGACAGCUUAUGCCAUGGUAAAGCAACAUCCCGGGCUUCCCAAGAUCUGCCUCAUUCAUGGACCACCCGGAACCGGGAAAUCAAAAACCAUAGUUGGACUUCUGUCUCGUGUCUUGAGAGGGAACACUAGGAAUGAGAAAACAACUCAAAAAACAAGUUCCAAGAUCAAGCCAAACCGUUUUCUAGUUUGUGCACCAUCCAAUGCUGCAGUUGAUGAACUCAUGAAAAAGAUCAUCGUUGCAUUUAAGGAAAAAUGCCAAAACAGACAAGAGCCUUUGGGAAACUGUGGUGAUAUCAAAUUAGUGCGACUGGGUGCCGAAAAAUCGAUCAACAGUGAAGUCCGGGGUUUUAGCCUGGACAAGCAAGUUGAACACAGAAUGAAACGAAAGCCAGGUGACCGUGACCAGGAUAUUCAGAAGAAAAAAGCAGCUCUGGAUCAAAAGCUGGACACGCUGUCUCGUCAGCGUGCCAUGCACAGAUGUGAAAAGAGAGAGAAUCAAAUGAUAGAUGAUGAAAUUGGCAGACUUUCAAAGGAGAGACAACAGCUUGCUUCUCAACUAAAGGAGGUUCGGGGACACUCUCAGAAAGUACAGGCAGAUAUCAUCUUGGAGUCCGACAUAAUCUGCUGCACGCUGAGCACCAGCGGAGGAAAUCUCAUGGAGUAUGCUUUUUGGCGGCAAGGACUUGAUCCUUUCAGCUGUGUCAUCGUGGAUGAGGCAGGGCAGUCCUGUGAGGUCGAAACGCUGAUUCCACUGAUUCAUCGCUGUAAUAAACUCGUCCUUGUUGGAGAUCCCAGACAGCUCCCUCCUACUGUAAAAUCAGUAAAAGCUCAAGAUUAUGGCUACGACCAGUCCUUGAUGGCACGCCUGCACAGACACCUGGAAGAGCAAGUGCAGAAGAAUGUUUUACGAAGUCUGCCAGUUGUGCAGCUGACUGUGCAGUACAGGAUGCACCCUGACAUCUGCCUUUUCCCAUCCAAUUAUGUUUAUGGAAGGGCUCUAAAGACAGACAAAGCAACAGAAGAGAACAGAUGUUCUUCAGACUGGCCAUUCCAGCCCUAUCUUGUUUUUGAUGUAGGAGAUGGUCGUGAGGAGCGAGACAAUGAGUCUUUUAGUAAUCCCCAGGAAGUAAAGCUGGUGAUAGAAUUAAUUAAAACAAUUAAAGAAAAACGGAAGGAUCUGGGUCUUCGUCGCAUUGGAAUAAUUACCCCUUACAGCGCACAGAAGAAGAAAAUUCAAGAAGAACUGGACAGAGUGUUUAAGAAUAACAGCCCAGGAGAAGUAGAUACAGUGGAUGCAUUCCAGGGACGAGAGAAAGACUGCAUCAUAGUGACGUGUGUCCGGGCAAACAGCGCUAGAGGAUCAAUUGGGUUUCUGGCAAGUCUUCAGCGUCUGAAUGUUACAAUUACCCGAGCUAGAUUCAGCCUCUUCAUCCUUGGAAGACUGAAAACGCUCAUGGAAAAUAAAGACUGGAAUGAGUUGAUUCAGGAUGCUCAGAGGAGAGGUGCUAUUAUCAAGACGUCAGACAAAAGCUACAAGAAAGAUGCUGUUAAGAUUCUGAAGCUCAAACCAACAGCACAGAAGUGGGGUGCUGGGCAGCCGCCCACCAAAGCAGAGGCAAAGAAGGCUCCUCCAGCACAGGCUUGUUCUUCCGGCAGCAAGAGGGGUGAGCUUGCAAACCCGAAUGAGGUCAGCAGCCCACGGGAACUCACUGCUGGUCCCGGCCAUGCAGCGCUGCAAGCAAGCAGAGGGCCUCAGCAGCUGCAGGGGGCUCAGGCUGCAGAGUCCAGGCGAGCCAGUGUCUCCUCACCGGUGGAGGUUGCAGCGCUCCCUGCUGAUCAAGAGAAACCACGGGACCCAAGGCUGGCAAGUCUGGCCAGUAGGACUGAAACAAAAGGGAAGGAACAGGUCCCAAAAGACAGCAGUCGGUUAGCCCAGAGCAAUCCAGGAUCAACGUCACAACAGUGUUUGGACGUGACCUCAGCUUCCAGGGAUCAGAUUUCCAGAACAGAAACUUCUAAGAAGCCCCAGCAAACAAUGGGACAAUGUGACACGCCUUCAAUGUUGCCUUAUGCAGCUCAGCAGGAGGGUGACAGGAAAGCUCCUUUACCAAAAGACAAUUCAAAAGCCAUCAAUGAAGGAGGUCAAUGUAAUAGCAGUAAGGGGAACAAAGACUGUCGUGCUUUAACGAGGAGAACAUCAGAGCUGCCACCAGAGAACACAGACUCAAACAGUGCCAAGCGAAGAAAGACCUUUCACUGACUUCUAGUACCUUCAAUAAUGGCUCACUACUGAAAGUCUCUUCCCAAGUUUCUAUCUAGCAAAGAAUGUAUUUUAAAAUAUUUGGUACAGCUCUGUUACAGUGAUACUACUACUGUCAGUAGAUCCAUCUUUUUUCACAUCCAGUCCCGAAUUGUGAAGGGGACUUCGUACCUGACAGUUAAUAGCUUUGAGCUGUUGAAGAGAGAAGUUGGGCAGCUGCAUUGCUUGGAAUGGCAGUGAAUUUUGUCAGCUAGGAAGUUAAGGUUGUAAAUGUUUAAUGAUGUAUAUUUGUACAGCAUACAAAAAUAUUUUAAGAUUUAACUUGGCAAAUAUAUAGCCUCUUGUUUCCUUGUGCAAAUGCAUAUUUCUUAGUGACGUAACUUUUUUUUAUGAAGAACAGGAGCAAAGCAAAAAAUAAGAAAUAAAGAUAAAACGAAUGAAAAAAGUCCCCACACAAAAAAGGAAAAAAACAGCCAGAAUUCUUUUUUCCCUUUUGCACUAGUAAGUCUAAUUUAUUUAAUAGUGAAGAGUGAAUGUUGAAAAUGUGGUAACAGUGAGUCUUCCUCAUGUUCCACUAGUGCCUCAGGGAAGACUGAAGGCAGAUUUACAUUGGUUGAAUGGAGAUAAUUCUACUUAUUUUGUAUAUUUUAUUGCCUGUUUUUAUAGGAACAGAAGAGCUUUCAUUUAUACAAAUGUGCCUUGAGUUUUGCUCUCGCUGCUGCUCUGUCAGCUGGAAUCCUUUUCUUCUUGUAGCGGCAGCACGAACUGCAGAUUAAAGCCUAUGAGGUUUGUUUGGGCCCAGUGAGUCCUUGUGAUGAAUAAUCAACAGGACUGUGGAAUCUUAGUCAAAGAUCUAGUUAACACGUAUUGAUGAUGACACUUGAGUUUCUUUGGAUAGAGCUCUUGAAGAUCUACACAGCGCGUCUGUCCUAAGCAAGCGAACAGCAACGUUUCCUGUGUGCAGAGCUGUGCAUGGAGAGGGUCUCGUGUGCUUCUGCCUCAGGAUGUGGCACCAGGCUGCGUUAACACAAGUCGGGU